AAUUUUUGGUGUUGUUUCCAUGGCAACAUAGUAGUUCCAAUGAGUGUCAAAAUCAUCCAAUACCUGUAUAUAGUGGGCACCUACAUUGUAAUAAAAUAUAAUGUUUCUAAGUUCAAGUCUAGCCAAACAGUUCGAGAAAACAAAAAACUGGAUUUUUUUACAUUUUUUUAGUUUCCAUGGUAACGGUAGCCAUCAUGCACAUGCCAAAGUCCACUGCACAACUUAUCAUGGUGGUCCUUAUUAUAGUAAAGUUUAACCAACAUUGGUCCAUUGGAUUCCGAGAAAUAAGCUGGACAAAAUCGGUGGAAGAAAAAUAAUAAGAAAAAAAAGAAACGACGUAGAAUAA
rnacentral:lncRNA from 1 species